rnacentral:rRNA from 1 species
UACGGGAGGGGCAAGCGUUGUUCGGAAUUACUGGGCGUAAAGGGUUCGUAGGUGGCUCGCUAAGUCAGACGUGAAAUCCCUCAGCUUAACUGGGGAACUGCGUCUGAGACUGGCAAGCUUGAGUGCAGGAGAGGAACGCGGAAUUCCAGGUGUAGCGGUGAAAUGCGUAGAUAUCUGGAGGAACACCGGUGGCGAAGGCGGCGUUCUGGACUGUAACUGACACUGAAGAACGAAAGCCAGGGGAGCAAACGGG